UGGAUCCAGACCUUUAUUCUGGCUCAGGAUGAACGCUAGCUACAGGCUUAACACAUGCAAGUCGAGGGGCAGCGGGAUUGAAGCUUGCUUCAAUUGCCGGCGACCGGCGCACGGGUGAGUAACGCGUAUCCAACCUUCCGUACACUCAGGGAUAGCCUUUCGAAAGAAAGAUUAAUACCUGAUAGUAUCUUAAGCACACAUGUAAUUAAGAUUAAAGAUUUAUCGGUGUACGAUGGGGAUGCGUUCCAUUAGGUAGUAGGCGGGGUAACGGCCCACCUAGCCAACGAUGGAUAGGGGUUCUGAGAGGAAGGUCCCCCACAUUGGAACUGAGACACGGUCCAAACUCCUACGGAAGGCAGCAGUGAGGAAUAUUGGUCAAUGGACGAGAGUCUGAACCAGCCAAGUAGCGUGAAGGAUGACUGCCCUAUGGGUUGUAAACUUCUUUUAUACGGGAAUAAAGUGAGCCACGUGUGGCUUUUUGUAUGUACCGUAUGAAUAAGGAUCGGCUAACUCCGUGCCAGCAGCCGCGGUAAUACGGAGGAUCCGAGCGUUAUCCGGAUUUAUUGGGUUUAAAGGGAGCGUAGGCGGGUUGUUAAGUCAGUUGUGAAAGUUUGCGGCUCAACCGUAAAAUUGCAGUUGAUACUGGCGACCUUGAGUGCAACAGAGGUAGGCGGAAUUCGUGGUGUAGCGGUGAAAUGCUUAGAUAUCACGAAGAACUCCGAUUGCGAAGGCAGCUUACUGGAUUGUAACUGACGGUGAUGCUUGAAAGUGUGGGUAUCAAACAGGAUUAGAUACCCUGGUAGUCCACACAGUAAACGAUGAAUACUCGCUGUUGGCGAUAUACAGUCAGCGGCCAAGCGAAAGCAUUAAGUAUUCCACCUGGGGAGUACGCCGGCAACGGUGCAACUCAAAGGAAUUGACGGA
rnacentral:rRNA from 1 species